AAUCAGAAGUAACCAUUUUCCAGAAGUUACUCUCGUAUUUCCCUCUGUCACUAAGUUAUCAUUGGGUGUUAUGAACCGCCAUGGUCUUAACUUAUUGAGAAUUUAAUGCUCUUUCAAAUGCUGCCUUCAAAAAUGCUCAAAGUGGUCUGGUUAUUGUGGAAAAUGCAAAAAUGUCAGAGGAUGUGUGAGUCAUACCCGUGGAUGACACCUGAAUAUUGAAGCACCUGACACCAGAAGAAAGGGUGUCAGGGCUGGACAAACAAAGGCUCACAAAAAAAGACAAGACCAUCCUCUGAUAUUUUUACAUUUUUUUGGUACUUUAAGACAUUUUAGAGCAUUUCUGAAGGCAGCAUUUGAAAGAGCAUUAAAUUCUCUAUAAGGUCAGACUAUGGCAGACUCGUAACACCCAAUGAUAACUUAGUGACAGAGGGAAAUAUAAGAGUAACUUCUGGAAAAAUGGCUACUCCUGGCUCACACAUCCUCUGACAUUUUUGCAUUUUCCACAAUAACCAGACCACGUAGAGCAUUUCUGAAGGCAGCAUUUGAAAGAGCGUUAAAUUCUCUAUAAGUUCAGACUAUGGCAGACUCAUAACACCCAAUGAUAACUUAGUGACAGAGGGAAAUAUAAGAGUAACUUCUGGAAAAAUGGCUACUUCUGAUUCUCACAUCCUCGGACAUUUUCGCAUUUUCCACAAUAACCAGACCACUUAGAGCAUUUCCGAAGGCAACAUUCGAAAGAGCAUUAAAUUCUCUAUAAGGUCAGACUAUGGGCGACUCGUAACACCCAAUGAUAACUUAGUGACAGAGGGAAAUGUAAGAGUAACUUCUGGAAAAAUGGCUACUUCUGACUCUCACAUCCUCUGACAUUUUUGCAUUUUCCACAAUAACCAGACCACUUAGAGCAUUUCUGAAGGCAGCAUUUGAAAGAGCGUUAAAUUUUCUAUAAGGUCAGACUAUGGGCAACUCGUAACACCCAAUGAUAACUUAGUGACAGAGGGAAAUAUAAGAGUAACUUCUGGGAAAAUGGCUACUUCUGGCUCACACAUCCUCUGACAUUUUUGCAUUUUCCACAAUAACCAGACCACUUAGAGCAUUUCUGAAGGCAGCAUUCGAAAGAGCGUUAAAUUCCCUAUAAGGUCAGACUAUGGGCAACUCGUAACACCCAAUGAUAACUUAGUGACAGAGGGAAAUGUAAGAGUAACUUCUGGAGAUAUGGCUACUUCUGACUCACACAUCCUCUGACAUUUUUGCAUUUUCCACAAUAACCAGACCACUUAGAGCAUUUCUGAAGGCAGCAUUCGAAAGAGCGUUAAAUUCCCUAUAAGGUCAGACUAUGGGCAACUCGUAACACCCAAUGAUAACUUAGUGACGGAGGGAAAUGUAAGAGUAACUUCUGGAGAUAUGGCUACUUCUGACUCACACAUCCUCGGACAUUUUUGCAUUUUCCACAAUAACCAGACCACGUAGAGCAUUUCUGAAGGCAGCAUUGGAAAGAGCGUUAAAUUCUCUAUAAGGUCAGACUAUGGGCGACUCGUAACACCCAAUGAUAACUUAGUGACAGAGGGAAAUAUAAGAGUAAAUUCUGGAAAAAUGGCUACUUCUGACUCUCACAUUCUCUGACAUUUUUGCAUUUUCCACAAUAACCAGACCACUUAGAGCAUUUCUGAAGGCAGCAUUUGAAAGAGCGUUAAAUUCUCUAUAAGGUCAGACUAUGGCAGACUCGUAACACCCAAUGAUAACUUAGUGACAGAGGGAAAUAUAAGAGUAACUUCUGGAAAAAUGGCUACUUCUGACUCUCACAUUCUGACAUUUUUGCAUUUUCCACAAUAACCAGACCACUUAGAGCAUUUCUGAAGGCAGCAUUUGAAAGAGCAUUAAAUUCUCUAUAAGGUCAGACUAUGGCAGACUCAUAACACCCAAUGAUAACUUAGUGACAGAGGGAAAUAUAAGAGUAACUUCUGGAAAAAUGGCUACUUCUGACUCUCACAUCCUCUGACAUUUUUGCAUUUUCCACAAUAACAAGACCACUUAGAGCAUUUCUGAAGGCAGCAUUUGAAAGAGCAUUAAAUUCUCUAUAAGAUCAGACUAUGGCAAACUCACAACACCCAAUGAUAACUUAGUGACAGAGGGAAAUAUAAGAGUAACUCCUGGAAAAAUUGCUACUCCUGACUCACACACCCUCUGACAUUUUUGCAUUUUCCACAAUAACCAGACCACUUUUAGCAUUUCUGAAGGCAGCAUUUGAAAGAGCAUUAAAUUCUCUAUAAGUUCAGACUAUGGCAGACUCAUAACACCCAAUGAUAACUUAGUGACAGAGGGAAAUAUGAGAGUAACUCCUGGAAAAAUGGCUACUUCUGACUCUCACAUCCUCUAACAUUUUUGCAUUUUCCACAAUAACCAGACCACUUAGAGCAUUUCUGAAGGCAGCAUUUGAAAGAGCAUUAAAUUCUCUAUAAGGUCAGACUAUGGCAGACUCGUAACACCCGAUGAUAACUUAGUGACAGAGGGAAAUAUAAGAGUAACUUCUGGAAAAAUGGCUACUUCUGACUCUCACAUUCUGACAUUUUUGCAUUUUCCACAAUAACCAGACCACUUAGAGCAUUUCUGAAGGCAGCAUUUGAAAGAGCAUUAAAUUCUCUAUAAGUUCAGACUAUGGCAGACUCAUAACACCCAAUGAUAACUUAGUGACAGAGGGAAAUAUGAGAGUAACUCCUGGAAAAAUUGCUACUUCUGACUCUCACAUCCUCUGACAUUUUUGCAUUUUCCACAAUAACCAGACCACUUAGAGCAUUUCUGAAGGCAGCAUUUGAAAGAGCAUUAAAUUCUCUAUAAGGUCAGACUAUGGCAAACUCAUAACACCCAAUGAUAACUUAGUGACAGAGGGAAAUAUGAGAGUAACUUCUGGAAAAAUGGCUACUUCUGACUCACAUCCUCUGACAUUUUUGCAUGGAACAGACCCCAGGAGACGGGACACAACAUCUGUGGUCAUAUGCCGGAGAGAGACAGAAGGGGAAGGAAUUAUAGGAGAAGGGAACAGACCCCAGGAGACGGGACACAACAUCUGUGGUCAUGUGCCGGAGAGAGACAGAAGGGGAAGGAAUUAUAGGAGAAGGGAACAGACCCCAGGAGACGGGACACAACAUCUGUGGUCAUGUGCCGGAGAGAGACAGAAGGGGAAGGAAUUAUAGAAGGGAACAGACCCCAGGAGACGGGACACAACCCCUGAUUAAUACCUGGCACACUGCUGGGUGGACAGGGGCAGCGUAGGGUAUCGGAAAAGCCGCCCAAAUUUUUCCACUCCGCCCGGGAAUCGAACCCAGGCUCUCUCGGUUCUGAGCUAAGCGUGCUAACCACUGCACCACGAAGCCCCCUGCACACAGUUCUUCCCGCACGCCACUUAAACAACAGCACAACUACCCAACAACAACAACAACAACACCCUCGCUGCUGAGCUAACACGAGGGGAAGGGCAGCCCGGGAGGAGGCUAUUCAAACUGACCUCUUGUUGGUUUUACACAAUGACCCUGACCUUCAUGAUACUUGGUGACCUCCAGAGUGACCUGUACUACUACUACUACUACUACUACUACUACUAUUACUAUCGCCGACGUGUGUUAGAGAAACUACGAUUAGUCAACCCAUGGAAUCAGAUUUUUAUUCAGCGUUGACGAGGGCUUAGAGAUCCUCACAUUCUCUGGGGUGGAGGGAA